GGCAAUUAACACAUUCUCCAGAUUGGUUAGCGCGUGAGACUUUUAAUCUCAAGGCUCAGGGUUCGAGUCCCUGGUCG